CUGCCUUGAGAUCCAGGAGUCAUUCUAUAAGAAGUCUGGCUGCUCAGAGGCCAUCAUGUUAGAAAACCCACAUGGAGGGACCACAUGGAGAUAGAGGGAGGUGCCCAAGAAACUCAAGCUGUCCGUCGCCCAGCUGCUUGAGCCUUUCCAGCAUCAACUGUCAGACAUCUCCUGGAACCCAUGGCCCUACUAGAUCUGCCAUGCUCCUUGAACAAAUGAAGGUUGGAGAUUAAGACAGAGGACCAGCGACUCUUGGCUUUCCUUCUUGACUCAGCCACCACAUCCCAGGAGCUUCCUGGGUAAGUAAUUUAAACAUUUUGUUCCUCAAUUCCUCCACUAUCAUAAAAUGAUAAUCGUGAUUGUUACUUGAGAAAGAAGCCUUCUGUGAUUUUGAAAUGAAAUCAACUAUUGUAAGUGCAAAGCCGUAAGAAGUCUCCAACCUUUUAGUGACUUUAUAUUCAGUGAAUAGUCUUGGUCAAAAUACUCCCAAGAAAAGACCAUUUAGGGGACUUUAACAUCUUUUUCCCAAUUCAAGAAACAAAACCAUCACUGAGGCUAAUCUGAUAGUCUCUUCUGCCAAGGUGUCUUGCUUUUGAUGAAGAAUGCCGGGGCAGGGAAAGGCUGUUGCAAAUGACCAAAAUGAUCAUUUCCACUGUGUAGUUAAAAUUUGUACCUUUCAUCAGCACCAUAAGACAAGACAAAAAAAACUAAAGUAAAUAAAAUUUGUGCCUUUCAGUGUAUAUACAUCUGACCUUAAACACACACAAAAAGAACUAAAAAAAAAGUGAGGGUGAGAAAUGGGUUAAAGCAUAGAUAAAACAAAAAGGGCACUUGAUUAGCAGUUGUUGAUGUUGGGUCAGAGGUCUAUUAUACUACUUUGUUUAUUUUGUAUAUAUUUAAAUUUUUCUAUAAUAAAACACUUGUAUAAAAAGAUUUUUUAAAAGAUGGUCAUUUUCAUCUUCAUGAGUGAAAACUCCUAAAACGUACACAGAGGAUGCACAGGUAGGUCUAAAUGAAAAGUCGUGUUGUGGCCGAGCGUGGUGGCUCAUGCCUAUAAUCCCAGCACUCUGGGAGGCCAAGGAGGGUGGAUCACCGGAGGUCAGGAGUUUGAGACCAGCCUGGCCAACAUGGUGAAACCUCGUCUCUACUAAAAAUACAAAAAACUAGCCAGGUGUGUUGGCGGCCGCCUGUAAUUCCAGUUACCUAGGAGGCUAAGGGAGGAGAAUUGCUUGAACUGGGAGGCAGAGGUUGCAGUGAACUGAGAUUGCGCCAUUGCACUACAGUCUGGGCGACAGAGCAAGACUCUGUCUCAAAAAAUGAAUGAAUGAAUGAAUGAAUAAAUAAAUAAGUAGAAAAGUGGUGUUGUGCAGCCAUUAUGGAAAACAGCAUGGUAGUUCUGAAAAAAAAAUUAAGAGCAGAAUUAUUACCUUAUGGUCUAGCAAUUCCACUUCUAGGUAUAUAAACAAAAGGAUUA
rnacentral:lncRNA from 1 species